AACGUAGGAGACAAACGUUAUCCGGAGUUACUGGGCGUAAAGGGCGUGCAGGCGGUCGACUAAGUCUGGCGUGAAAGCUCUCGGCUAAACCGGGAGAGGUCGUUGGAUACUGGUUGACUAGAGGACGGUAGAGGCGUGUGGAAUUCCGGGUGUAGUGGUGAAAUGCGUAGAGAUCCGGAGGAACACCAGUGGCGAAAGCGGCCACCUGGACUGCACCUGACGCUGACACGCGAAAGCUAGGGGAGCGAACGGG
rnacentral:rRNA from 1 species